rnacentral:rRNA from 1 species
CCUACGGGAGGCAGCAGUGAGGAAUAUUGGUCAAUGGACGGAAGUCUGAACCAGCCAAGCAGCGUGAAGGAAGACGGCCCUAUGGGUUGUAAACUUCUUUUAUACAAGAAUAAAACUGAACACGUGUAUUCAGCUGCAUGUACUGUACGAAUAAGGAUCGGCUAACUCCGUGCCAGCAGCCGCGGUAAUACGGAGGAUCCAAGCGUUAUCCGGAUUUAUUGGGUUUAAAGGGUGCGUAGGUGGAUUGUUAAGUCAGUUGUGAAAGUUUGCGGCUCAACCGUAGAAUUGCCUCUGAUACUGGCAGUCUAGAGUGCAGUGGCGGUAGGCGGAAUGCGUGGUGUAGCGGUGAAAUGCUUAGAGAUCAUGAAGAACACCGAUUGCGAAGGCAGCUUACUAAUCUAUAUCUGACGUUGAGGCACGAAAGUGUGGGGAUCAAACAGGAUUAGAUACCCUAGUAGUC